AGAGCUGAGAUUAACUCCCCAUAAGCAUGCAUAUCUUUCUAAUCAAGGGUGGUUUUGCCUUGCUUCGAAUGAAGAUGCUGCAUACGAACCCCAUGCCCUGCUGAAAUGUGGUGAAAAGAGGGCAGUGAAGAGCCAGUAUAUGUGUCAGCUGAACCUGUGGGAUUUGGCGUUCUCUGUACAGGAAGACAGUGCUAGCUGCAACGUCCGGCUCCCUUUGAUGUACCUGGUGGCCCUGCAGAACCUGUGCCUUCCUUCCAAGGCAUUAUGAUGCUGGCCUUGCAUUUCCCCAUCCCUGGAGGCAUUCAAGGGCAG
ensembl:lncRNA